AUGUUUUUCUCUUUUUUUUUUUUGGCAGGAGGAGGAGAACGGGAACCGAGCAGGUCCCCCCCGGAGCCGCCUGGAGCCCAUGGACACGAUCUUCGUGAAGAACGUGCGGGAGGACGGGCCGGCGCACCAGGCGGGGCUGCGCACGGGUGACCGCCUGGUCAAGGUGAACGGCGAGAGCAUCAUCGGCAAAACGUACUCGCAGGUGAUCGCCCUGAUCCAGAACAGUGACGAUGUGCUGGAGCUCUCCAUCAUGCCCAAGGACGAGGACAUCCUGCAGCUGGUGGGUU